rnacentral:tRNA from 1 species
CAAGUUAGAGCUUGCUUAAAAAGCGUUUUAUUUACACUAAAGAGUUAAUUGUGAAAUUCAAUUUUUCUUGA